CCACUAUGGCCUCUGUGGGAUCUCCGUUAAGCUCCCUGGAUAUUGUGGGGGCAGUAGGCCCACGGGUGAGCAAGCGCUCGGAGGAGGGAGCUAUGGGUGGAGAAAGCCUUCUCCAAUGACAGUGUUACAGUUCUGAAGGGAAAGGUAUCCUGGAAGUUGGAUACUACAAAGUCACAGCACACAACAAACCUCAGACAGGAGAUUUAUUGGGAGGGAAAAACUCAGAAGAUGGUUGCCUCUGCUCAGGUGAAUCGGGGGGCGCUGGGACGUUCCAGAGUAGGGGAGUUGGUGGGUUUUCAAGUCUUGAGCGUAGGCUUUUUACUCUGCACAGAGGAGCUUGGACCCCAUGCAUCUGGAGGGGCUGGACCCAGUCAUUAGGGCCCUCUGAGUGUUUUGUGGGCAGCUUAGCCACUCUCACUCCUCAAAUGCUUACUCUUGUAACCCUAACAAACUCAUUGACCAAGUGGGACCUAAGAGGCUUUCUUCCAGUUGGAGUAUAGGUUUACGGCUGCCCAGGAAAAUCAUGAGAGAGAGACCCCCAGUGUCAGCUCAGUAUUUGAUUUCCCUUGAAUGCCACCCCCCCUCCAUCUUCACCUACAGACUUACAGCCAAGUGUGGAGUGUGGUGCAUCAUGUUCAGCUGUAGAGCCAAAGGUGAAGUUUGGUGCAUGUGUUUAUUUGGUUUUGUGGGAUUGGGAGGUGAGGGUUUUGUUGUUUUAAGACAGGGUUUCUGUAACCUGCAGCUUCAGUUUUCUCAGCUUUGAGAACACAGGCAGGUGCUACCAAGCUUAGCUGGUUUAACAUUUGACUUAGAAAACCCAUAGGCAUUUUUACAAGCGUAGCCUGUUAAGAGGAGCUAACCCAGUAUAGCCGUAGUUCUUGGGGAACUCCCACACAUAGGGGAGCGCAGGCCAGUUCUCGGUAUUGGAAGAGGUAGAUCCAAGGAGUGUGGAGGUAAAAAGCACUCAGCUUAAAAGCAGAGGCUGGUGAGGAAGAGAAGGUGGUAACAAUUCCAGUCUGUGGAUCCCAGAAGGCUCAGGACUGUCAGAGAACUGUUGGGGAACUCAGUUUCCUCAACGUAUCUUUGGUCCUGGGCCUUCCUGGCGUUACAUAGUUCCAUCCGAGAGGAGCUGACAGUGGGCCUACUGGGUAUCAGGAGGCCUACCUCAGAGAAUUUUCUCUUACAGGGUCUUGGGCAGCUGGAUCCUGUACAGCAUCCCUCCUUUCAUGAAUUAAUGAGGUUUAGUGGACAGAUGUGUCUGACUCUACUGGCAGAUGGGUGGGACAGGUGUGUCUUAUGCAUAGAUGGUAGCUGCAAGAUGGUUUUAUUGCUUUUUUGAGACAGGGUCUCACUAUGGACCUCCAACUGCUAUGUAGUCCUACUUGUCUCUGUCUCUUGUGUGCUGGGAUUAGACAUCUGACCUGUGUAAUUUUUUUUCUGCAGACUUUCUCAGUAGCCUCACACUGAUCUGGAGGGUUAACUUCAGAUCCUCCUGUCUCAGCCUCCCAAAGUGCUAGGGUUACAGGUCUACACCACUAUACCUCCAGGUGACGGGACGGGAGUUCCUAAAGAGCUGGACUCAACUUUACACAUGCACUCAUCCUCAACAGCAGACGUGCUCAUAGCAGUGACUCAUUCUUCCCACCCUCCUCUCUCCACAAAGGCUCAUCUUUCAACAGAACUGUUGCUCUGGAGCAGAUUGCCUUUUCCUAGACCUCCUGGCUUCCCCCACCUACCUGUGGCCACCAAAGGGACAUAGAUGACUCCAUCCUACACUGGGCUACAGAUAAGCUGUAUCUCUGUGACCUCAGAACCCAGAUUAAAGCCAAAUCCUCUGUGCUUACUUCAA
rnacentral:sRNA from 1 species